rnacentral:rRNA from 1 species
GUCUGUGGCCACACCACCCUGAAUGCGCCAUCUCAGGAGUUAAGCAGGGUCAGACAGGUCAGUACUUGGAUGGGAGAGAUACAGGGUCCCAGACC